rnacentral:lncRNA from 1 species
UGAUUCGGUGACAUUUCUUUGUCACCACUAAAUGAAUCGGUGGAUUGAGAUGAUGCUCAAUUUUAGCAGGAUUCGCUUCAAGUCUUCGCGUGUGUUUGUCCCAGCUUCUCUUUCAUGAUGUCUUGUAUUGCUUUAAGGUCAUCUAGGGUCUUGUACAUAUCCUCUUGACCUUUGUUCCAUGUGUUUGAUUACCCAAGUCCAUUACUUUGCAUCCAUGUGACUAAGCCUUGUAUACUCCCAAACGUUGUUAGUCCCAAAGGUUAGUGUUGACAUACAAUCAUCAAUAUCACUAAUGGUCUAGCUAGGUCCAUUUUCUUUACAAUCACCCCCUUUUGAUGAUUGAUGCCAACAUAACCAAAGCAAGAGAUAAUAUUAAAAUUAAAUACAACUACUUGCUUGGAUGCAAUGCAAGAGCAAGAAUCAUAUGCUAAUUGAAAUACGCUAUGAAUAUUGAAUUGAGGUAGAUCAUACCUUGCUCUUACCAAUUUGAAAACUAACUUGAAAUCCCCCUCAUGUGGUCAUAAGGCUCCCCCUUAUUCCAAUGCCACAUUUCUCCCUUUCUUGGACCAAAUUCUUACAAUCUCCCCCAAGCUUGAAAUGUACAAUCUCCC